AAAUUGAAGAGUUUGAUCAUGGCUCAGAUUGAACGCUGGCGGCAGGCCUAACACAUGCAAGUCGAACGGUAACAGGAAGCAGCUUGCUGCUUCGCUGACGAGUGGCGGACGGGUGAGUAAUGUCUGGGAAACUGCCUGAUGGAGGGGGAUAACUACUGGAAACGGUGGCUAAUACCGCAUAACGUCGCAGGACCAAAGAGGGGGACCUUCGGGCCUCUUGCCAUCAGAUGUGCCCAGAUGGGAUUAGCUUGUUGGUGAGGUAACGGCUCACCAAGGCGACGAUCCCUAGCUGGUCUGAGAGGAUGACCAGCCACACUGGAACUGAGACACGGUCCAGACUCCUACGGGAGGCAGCAGUGGGGAAUAUUGCACAAUGGGCGCAAGCCUGAUGCAGCCAUGCCGCGUGUAUGAAGAAGGCCUUCGGGUUGUAAAGUACUUUCAGCGGGGAGGAAGGGGAUAAGG
rnacentral:rRNA from 1 species